rnacentral:rRNA from 1 species
GACGAACGCUGGCGGCGUGCUUAACACAUGCAAGUCGAACGGAAAGGCCCUGCUUUUGUGGGGUGCUCGAGUGGCGAACGGGUGAGUAACACGUGAGUAACCUGCCCUUGACUUUGGGAUAACUUCAGGAAACUGGGGCUAAUACCGGAUAGGAGCUCCUGCUGCAUGGUGGGGGUUGGAAAGUUUCGGCGGUUGGGGAUGGACUCGCGGCGUAUCAGCUUGUUGGUGGGGUAGUGGCUUACCAAGGCUUUGACGGGUAGCCGGCCUGAGAGGGUGACCGGCCACAUUGGGACUGAGAUACGACCCAGACUCCUACGGGAGGCAGCAGUGGGGAAUAUUGCACAAUGGGCGGAAGCCUAAUGCAGCAACGCCGCGUGCGGGAUGACGGCCUUCGGGUUGUAAACCGCUUUCGCCUGUGACGAAGCGUGAGUGACGGUAAUGGGUAAAGAAGCACCGGCUAACUACGUG